rnacentral:rRNA from 1 species
UACGGAGGGUGCAAGCGUUGUUCGGAAUUACUGGGCGUAAAGCGCGUGUAGGCGGCCAUGCAAGUCGGAUGUGAAAGCCCUCGGCUCAACCGGGGAAGUGCACUCGAAACUGCAAGGCUAGAGUCUCGGAGAGGAUCGUGGAAUUCUCGGUGUAGAGGUGAAAUUCGUAGAUAUCGAGAGGAACACCGGUGGCGAAGGCGGCGAUCUGGACGAUGACUGACGCUGAGACGCGAAAGCGUGGGGAGCAAACAGG